UAGGGAAUCUUCCACAAUGGACGCAAGUCUGAUGGAGCAACACCGCGUGAGUGAAGAAGGGUUUCGGCUCGUAAAACUCUGUUGUUAAAGAAGAACAUAUCUGAGAGUAACUGUUCAGGUAUUGACGGUAUUUAACCAGAAAGCCACGGCUAACUACGUGCCAG
rnacentral:rRNA from 1 species